UCAAGCUAGAAAGGGUGUACGUGAGGAUGCCUAGGCACCAAGAGCCGACGAAGGACGUGGCUAAGCUGCGAAAUGCCCCGGAGAGACGCAAGCAGUCUUUGACCCGGGGGUGUCCCAGAUUCGGAAACGACACGGUCUAAACGGCCGUGAGCCGUGUGUGAAUCCAUAGCGCACGGUGGGGAACGCAGGGAACUGACCCAUCUAAGUACCUGCAGGAAAAGAAAGAUACAUCGAUUCCCCCAGUAGCGGCGAGCGAAAAGGGAAGAGCCCAAACCUUAUAUGUGUAAGCCCGCAGGCGUUGCAUAUAGGGGGUUGUAAGAGCCGGAGCAGUGGUUGCGGACCUGCAUAGAGUUACAAAACUGAUCGUUAGAAGAGCCAGCUGGAAAGCUGGGCCACAGAGGGUGAUAGCCCCGUAUUCGAAAGCGAUCAGACUCUACCGGAGUUCUUGAGUAGCGCCUGUCCCGUGGAACCAGGCGUGAAUCAGCGGGGCCCACCCCGCAAGGCUAAAUACUCCUUGGUGACCGAUAGUGAAGAGUAGCGCGAGCGAAAGGUGAAAAGAACCCCUGUUAGGGGAGUGAAAUAGAACCUGAAACCGUAUACCUACCAGCGGUCGGAGCCCUAUUCAUGGGGUGACGGCGUGCCUUUUGCAUAAUGACCCGGCGAGUUGGCGUAGGCGGCAAGGUUAAGGAUUAGAAGUCCGAAGCCGAAGCGAAAGCGAGUGCGAAAUGUGCGAUACCAGUCGAGUGCGCCAGACCCGAAAUCAGGUGAUCUAACCAUGGGCAGGUUGAAGCGGAUGUAACAGUUCGUGGAGGACCGAACGGGUAAAUGUUGAAAAAUUUUCCGAUGACCUGUGGUUAGGGGUAAAAGAUCAAUCAAACCUGAAGAUAGCUGGUUCUCCCCGAAAUAGCUUUAGGGCUAGCCUCAGGUGUUUCGCGACGGGGGUAGAGCGACUGUUCAGGCUAGGGGGGUGCAUAACCUACCCUACCCAGACAAACUCCGAAUACCGUCGUUGAUAGCCUGGGAGUCAGACUACGAGGGAUAAGCUUCGUGGUCGAGAGGGAAACAGCCCAGAUUGGCAGUUAAGGCCCCUAAUUCAUGCUAAGUGUAUGUAAGGAAGUGGGGUUGCAUAGACAGCUAGGAUGUUGGCUUAGAAGCAGCCAUCAUUUAAAAAGUGCGUAAUAGCUUACUAGUCGAGCAACUCUGCGCCGAAAAUGAACGGGACUAAGCAUGAAGCCGAAACUCCAGACUACACACGCUGAUGUGUGUAUUGGUAGGGGAGCGUUGGACGAGCGGUUGAAGCCGGAGGGUAACUACCGGUGGACGUGGUCCAAGUGAUUAUGCCGGGAUGAGUAGCGAGAAAGCAGGUGAGAAUCCUGCUCGCCGUAAACCUAAGGUUUCCUGGGCAAGGCAAUUCCGCCCAGGGUUAGUCGGCCCCUAAGGCGAGGGCGAAAGCCGUAGUCGAUGGAGCAGCAGGUUAAUAUUCCUGCACCACUGUUAGCGUUGAAAGAGGAGUGACGGCGGGUUGAAGUGCGGCCAGUUAUUAGUUCUGGUUGCUGAGCUGGGGUGGCGGAUAGGAAAAUCCGUUCGCGUAAUCUCCGGCUCGGGUGGUAACCGCGUGGAAGUCCGUCCAAGAAAACCUUCGCUGGAGCGAAGCAGUGACCGUACCAAAUCUGACACAGGAGGGUGAGGCGAAUAGCCUCAGGCGCUCGAGAGAACCUUACGUGAAGGAACUAGGCAAAUUAACCCCGUAAGUUAGCGAUAAGGGGAGCCACCGCGAGGUGGCCGCAGGAAAACGAUGGCUGCGACUGUUUACUAAAAACACAGGUCUCUGCGAAGUCGUCGAAGACGACGUAUAGAGACUGACGCUUGCCCGCUGUUGGAACGUUAAGAUGAGUGGUUAGAGCAAUCGAAGCUGCGAGUCGAAGCGCCAAUGAAGGGCGGCCGUAACUAUGACGGUCCUAAGGUAGCGAAAUUCCUUGUCGGGUAAGUUCCGACCCGCAC
rnacentral:rRNA from 1 species